rnacentral:rRNA from 1 species
GCGGUGAAAAUGGCGGUAAGAAGAUCCUGGGAGGGAAANACCCCGGUUGGCGAAAGGCGGCCCCCUGGACAAAGACUGACGCUAAGGUUGCGAAAGCCGUGGGGAGCAAACAGGAUAAGAUACCCGUGGUAGUCCACGCCGUAAACGAUGUCGACUUGGAGGUUGUGCCCUUGAGGCGUGGCUUCCGGAGCUAACGCGUUAAGUCGACCGCCUGGGGAGUACGGCCGNAAGGUUAAAACUCAAAUGAAUUGACGGGGGCCCGCACAAGCGGUGGAGCAUGUGGUUUAAUUCGAUGCAACGCGAAGAACCUUACCUACUCUUGACAUCCAGAGAACUUNAGCAGAGAUGGNUUGGUGCCUUCGGGAACUCUGAGACAGGUGCUGCAUGGCGUCGUCAGCUCGUGUUGUGAAAUGUUGGGUUAAGUCCCGCAACGAGCGCAACCCUUAUCCUUUGUUGCCAGCGGUCCGGCCGGGAACUCAAAGGAGACUGCCAGUGAUAAACUGGAGGAAGGUGGGGAUGACGUCAAGUCAUCAUGGCCCUUACGAGUAGGGCUACACACGUGCUAACAAAGGGCGGCAAAACAAAGAGAAGCGACCUCGCGAGAGCAAGCGGACCUCAUAAAGUGCGUCGUAGUCCGGAUUGGAGUCUGCAACUCGACUCCAUGAAGUCGGAAUCGCUAGUAAUCGUGGAUCAGAAUGCCACGGUGAAUACGUUCCCGGGCCUUGUACACACCGCCCGUCACACCAUGGG